UACAGAGGGUGCAAGCGUUAAUCGGAAUUACUGGGCGUAAAGCGCGCGUAGGUGGUUCGUUAAGUUGGAUGUGAAAGCCCCGGGCUCAACCUGGGAACUGCAUUCAAAACUGUCGAGCUAGAGUAUGGUAGAGGGUGGUGGAAUUUCCUGUGUAGCGGUGAAAUGCGUAGAUAUAGGAAGGAACACCAGUGGCGAAGGCGACCACCUGGACUGAUACUGACACUGAGGUGCGAAAGCGUGGGGAGCAAACGGG
rnacentral:rRNA from 1 species